AUUGAACGCUGGCGGCAGGCCUAACACAUGCAAGUCGAGCGGAUGAAGGGAGCUUGCUCCUGGAUUCAGCGGCGGACGGGUGAGUAAUGCCUAGGAAUCUGCCUGGUAGUGGGGGAUAACGUCCGGAAACGGGCGCUAAUACCGCAUACGUCCUGAGGGAGAAAGUGGGGGAUCUUCGGACCUCACGCUAUCAGAUGAGCCUAGGUCGGAUUAGCUAGUUGGUGGGGUAAAGGCCUACCAAGGCGACGAUCCGUAACUGGUCUGAGAGGAUGAUCAGUCACACUGGAACUGAGACACGGCCCAGACUCCUACGGGAGGCAGCAGUGGGGAAUUUUGGACAAUGGGCGAAAGCCUGAUCCAGCCAUGCCGCGUGUGUGAAGAAGGUCUUCGGAUUGUAAAGCACUUUAAGUUGGGAGGAAGGGCAGUAAGUUAAUACCUUGCUGUUUUGACGUUACCAACAGAAUAAGCACCGGCUAACUUCGUG
rnacentral:rRNA from 1 species